GACGAACGCUGGCGGCGUGCCUAAUACAUGCAAGUAGAACGCACAGUUUAUACCGUAGCUUGCUACACCAUAGACUGUGAGUUGCGAACGGGUGAGUAACGCGUAGGUAACCUGCCUGGUAGCGGGGGAUAACUAUUGGAAACGAUAGCUAAUACCGCAUAAUAUUGAUUAUUGCAUGAUAAUUGAUUGAAAGAUGCUAUUGCAUCACUACCAGAUGGACCUGCGUUGUAUUAGCUAGUAGGUGAGGUAACGGCUCACCUAGGCGACGAUACAUAGCCGACCUGAGAGGGGGAUCGGCCACACUGGGACUGAGACCCGGCCCAGAAUCCUACGGGAGGCAGCAGGAGGGAAUCUUCGGCAAUGGAGGAAAGUCUGACCGAGCAACGCCGCGGGAGGGAAGAAGGUUGUCGGGUCGUAAAGCUCUGUUGUAAGAGAAGAAAGGGUGUGAGAGUGGAAAGUUCACACUGUGACGGUAUCUUACCAGAAAGGGACGGCUAACUACGUG
rnacentral:rRNA from 1 species